GUUGAGCAGUAUAGGUUAAAGGAAUAUGUGUCAGAAAUUAUAAGGCUCGCAUUGUUUACUAUCUCCACUACUUCAGACCAGAGCCCCAGACCCCAGCCGCCGGCCCCAGCCCCCAUCCAGUCCUUUGAGUAUAUACAGGGCGUCUGGUAUUUUUUUAUGGGAUUUUUAUGAGCAGCCCGGCCUACCGGCAAAUGCAAGCGCGCUGAGCGCCCGGCCGCGGCGGC